AACCUGGCUGAAACAACCUCAGCUUGGCCCCUGCAAAGUGGAGGCCAAGCACAGCAGAAGCCCGACUCGGUGAAGCUCCCAUGGCAGAAGCUGAACACAAAAAUCCCAGCACAGUGGAAGGGACCAGAAGCCCAGCAUGCUGGAAACCAGAACAGCAAAAACAAACUCAGCAGAAAGCUCAUGCAGCUCAGUCUCAGAUUGCAGGAGACCUCCUGUUCAGGUCAGCAAGUGUGACUCGAGUCUCCCACUGCCGUCUCUCGGGUUCUGUCUUCUGCACUCACACCUCCCCGUGACCACAGCUUGGAGAGGAUCCAUGUGAUUAGAGUGGGCACAUCUAGAUGAUCCGGGAUAAUCUUGCCCUUUCAAGGUCCUUAAAUCAGAAUCUUUUUUUCCAUAAACAGGUAAUCUGUCUACACCUUGUCAUUUGUCAGUACUCUCUAAAUAAAUGGAUAUAUAUGUUAAAGGUGGCAAGCAACACAACAGUGAUCAUAAAUCUAGUCUACUCUGCAGCUAAAAUCUCUUGAAUGUUAAGACCACAUAUAGAGUGAUAUUUUCCGCUCAUUCACGCAGUGACAACCAAACCCGUUUUCAGUCAACGUUCCAAGCUGAUUUUAAGCCCUAGUUGAAGACAUUAAGAAAUACAAGCAGGGUGAAGCAAGGAAUGCUUUCUGAAUUUUGAAACAAAGGGAAUCUAUGCUCACUUGGGCAAAGAAGGGCAGUUGAAGUGACCAAAACAAUGGAGGCGAGAAGCUUCAUUGAAAGAACAAGCUACCAAGUAUGGACACUUGAAUUUAUCAGGAUAUAGACUCACACAGCACACAGGAUUCUAAACUGCAUGAACAAGAUGACAUGGAUUUGUUAGCUAUGCUCAAAGUACUAAUGGAAAGAGCAUCCUGUGAAACUUGAACAAGAUAAGUACAAUAAA